rnacentral:rRNA from 1 species
UUGAACGCUGGCGGCAGGCCUAACACAUGCAAGUCGAGCGGAUGAAGGGAGCUUGCUCCUGGAUUCAGCGGCGGACGGGCGAGUAAUGCCUAGGAAUCUGCCUGGUAGUGGGGGAUAACGUCCGGAAACGGGCGCUAAUACCGCAUACGUCCUGAGGGAGAAAGUGGGGGAUCUUCGGACCUCACGCUAUCAGAUGAGCCUAGGUCGGAUUAGCUAGUUGGUGGGGUAAAGGCCUACCAAGGCGACGAUCCGUAACUGGUCUGAGAGGAUGAUCAGUCACACUGGAACUGAGACACGGUCCAGACUCCUACGGGAGGCAGCAGUGGGGAAUAUUGGACAAUGGGCGAAAGCCUGAUCCAGCCAUGCCGCGUGUGUGAAGAAGGUCUUCGGAUUGUAAAGCACUUUAAGUUGGGAGGAAGGGCAGUAAGUUAAUACCUUGCUGUUUUGACGUUACCAACAGAAUAAGCACCGGCUAACUUCGUG